GCGCGCGCGGUUGCUGAGGUGACGCGCGGGACAGGCCCCGGUGCCGGCGGCGCGCCCGCCCCGCCGCCUCGGAGCGCUCGAUGGCUGUGUUCUUUAACUGUAUUUUGGAUGGGAUUAUCUUUUAUUUCAUUGCCUUCUAUAGAAACUGAUUAAUAUUUUUAGGUGAGAGAUCACGGAUGAAGCUGUGGUGGGGUGACCCUGGCUGGACAUCAGGUGCUCACCAAAGCCCAUCUCAUUCGCCUGCUCAGUGGGACAGAGGGGAGAGAGAGAGAAAAUACAGCAAAAAGGUCAAGUUGGUGCCUGGGAAUGUGAGAGCAGGAAUGAGCUCAGCAAGAACUGAGGCAGCUUUCUCAGCAUGACGACUGUUGUCCUGUUCUCUGUGCAGAAAAAAUUCAGUGGCUUUUGCCCCUCCAAGUCCUGGUGACACCUUCAAGUGUUCUUGGACCUCUCCCAGGUUUUACUUGACCAACAUUUUCAUGUGUGCCACUUCUUUCUGAUUCUGAGAAAUACACAGAAAGAAUUCACUUUCUGCACUUAAGCAAGUGCUAUGAAAUGAGUUAUUGUUUGCCUUUUAGGAGUGUUGCUCCAGGGCACACUUUUGCUGUAAAGUGUAAGUGAUGAAAAAGUGGAUCUGCCCAGGUUUGUGGUUGGAUAUGGCAGAAAUGGGGUAUAAGGAGCUUUAUCCCUCUGGGGAAAGGCAUAUCCAUGCAUACCAAAAAGUAGGUUUUGUGACACUUAUUACAGCUGCUUUGGGUUAAUAAUCAAAUUUUGUUCUAUUUUUUGCCUGCGUUUUAGAAAAGGUGCAGAAAAAAAAUCCUGAAAUACAUAUGGCUUUCAUCAGGUAGAGAUGCAUUGCUAUUUUCACCUUUUCUUUUUGGGGACAAUGAGUUACCCUUCAUUCUUUUUAUCUGAAGAUACUUUAUCUUAUCACUCAUCCAUGCAUCUUUCCUCAGAGCCUGGAUAACAUUCCUUUUUAUUAUUAAGAUGUAUUGUUCGAAAAUGAAUUAGAGAAUGGCAUUUAUUGCCCAGUAGCAUGCCUCAUGAACAGUGGAGUUUUGUCAUAAUCACAAAGUGUCUAAAUUCAGGGUUCUAAUGCCAAUUUCUAAGUGCUCUAGUUUUCAGAAGUGAAAUGUGACUAUGGAUUUACAUACUUAUUCCAGGAGAGGCAGCUGAAAUGGGAUAACAUACUUUGGGAGGAGCAGGGAGCAGGCAGAAUGUUGCUCACCCUACAUGACUACCCUGUAAUAGAUCUUUCAGAGCUUUGAAGAGUGGGUGUUUUUAAUGACUAUGUUGUAUCAUUUAAUGGAUAAUUUUUUAAAGUUACACACUUUUGCAAGUCGGUGUUAAAGCUGAGCAGGUUUGGAAUGUGCCAAAAAUAGAUUUCAAGCUGGGUUUUGUAAAAAUUUACUGUUCUGGGGUGAGCAGAUACUAAUUCUGUUGGUCAUGAAAACUGUGUAUUGAGAUUAUGGUUUAAAUCUGUAAAUAUGAAGUGCUAAAAUAUUACAUACAUAUAUGUGUAUAUAUAUAUACACAUACACACAUACAUGUAGAUAUAUACUAGAAUUAAUUUGGCUUUGCACACUUAGGUAUUUAACAAGAAAUAUACCUGGAGAGUUUUACUUUCUUCAAAUGAUGAACUAAACACUUAGCUCAAAAUAGCAGCCCUGAUUUGCAGAUAGAUAACUGAUGCAUCUAUAUCCAGAACUCUGUUAUUUCCCUUCUUGUUUUUUUUUUAUCAUCAUGUGACUAAUAGAAGUAAAAUCUGAAUAAGGACACAGCAUUUUUUUUGAUUACCUGAAGGGACAAGUUCACAGAGUCUCCCUUACAAUUCACACACUCACUACUUUCCAUCCCACAUUCAUUUCUGAGGCAUGUCAGCUGACUUGAUGCAUUUGGUGGAUAAGGUAGAGAUCUAAAAUCCUUCAAAUGUGAAUGUGAUAUUUUAAAAUUCAAGGAAAUACAAAGUGGUGUUCUCUUCCCCAGGCUCUCAAGAAAAGACUGCGACCUGAGCUCAAGGAUUUUUUGCAAUUUGGCCUUUGAUAUCAGUCAUUAACUACACAGGUCCUGAUGGCUGAGAAAGCUCCAGAGCAGCUGUGCUGCUUUGUGCUUGGCUGGCACCAGAGCUGCAUGCAGCAGCAGAGGAGAGGAAGGAAAAAGGAGCUGAAGGACAUGGCUACAAAGAAGUGAAUGAGCUGAAUGUAAUGUAGAAGGAAUUUGGAAACUUGAGGAAAAAGUGAGGAACCUAACAUGGAGGUUUGGGAAUAUGAGGUUGGGCUUGUCCAUCACCAAUGCAUAGAAAAGCAGAGAAGUUGCAGCACCCUUCACUGUUUUCCUUUGGGUUACAACCUGUAUGUGUUGUGGCAUACAAGAGCAUUGAAAACAAAUUUUUAAGUCGUGCGUAAUUCUUGUUGCCAUUUUGUUUUCCAAACUCACUUAUUCAUCAUGGGCGAUGUUUCCUUUGUUUUCUGCUGACAGAAGAAUGCCUCCUUGUUCUUACAUGUUGAUAUAUGGCUUGGUUUGAGGGAGAAUGCUGGUGUUGCCUUUAGCACAAAUGAUGUAUGCAUUUGCAUUUCUGGAACACUUUCAGAGUUUCCCAUUUGCUUUUAUCUCCUUUACAGAAUGAGCAACUGUUUUCUGGUUUAUCUUUUCUGAAGAUCAGCGUAGAUUGUUGAUUACAGGGUGCAAUAAAUUAACUUGUCGACUUUUGCCACAUUUCAUGUUUAGGUUAUAUAUCUGAACAAUGUUGAAGAUUAUAGAAAACUUUAAAAAUUAAUCCGAGAUGUAAACGCUUGAGAACAAAAGGUUUGGUUUUUUUUAAACUGGAUUUUAUUUCUAAAAGCCUGCUGCAUAAUAUUUCAUAGCACUAUCUAGAACAAGCUUUUUAAUUUUAAUUGCUAAAGGGGUUUUAGAGUGAUUUAUUAGACACCUGACUGCAAAACUGAAAGUAUAUCAUUGUAAUCCCAUUGUUGUCUUUAUUUGCCCAAACCAGAAAAAUAGGGAAUUUGAAAAUAGUGUUCAUUAGAGUAAAAUAUACAGUUUUUUAUCAUGUUGUGUUCUUCAGUUUGCUUUUAAAGGAAUUUGUUUUCUUACUGUAUUUUAAAAUAGGCUUUGAAAACUUCACUAUAGUCACAAUGUAAUUCUUUCUCUUUUUUUUUUGGUCUGAAAUUAAUGCAUGGGUAGGAAAAAUUUGUAAAUUUUACCUUUUCAGUAAUCUGAUGAAUGCUUUAUUCACUUGUGGGCAGUGUAUUUUGUUUACCAGUUGUGAUAUAUAGAAACAGUUUAGUUGUUGCCUCUCUAUUCCAUUUUGGCCUUCUAAUCAGAACUAACACUUUGAGUGCAUCCGUGUUUUGAGCUGGAAAUAUUAUUCAAACUGAGCCUUUUUUUCCACAAGUUGUUUGGAGUGAAUUCUUGAAUUCCACAAGAAGAGAACUAGGCUAACUACUUUUAGCAGACAAAUUUUUGUUUUUAAUAAAGAAUAAACCAUUACCAGUCAAGCCACCCGUUUCCUUUUUUUUUUUUUUUUCCAAAUGUCUUGGUCUGAGGUCUCAGAGGAAAAUCCAUGGAAAUGUCUUUCAUGGUUUCAAAGGACAAUAAAGGGAUUAAAAAAAAAGAAAAACAAGCAACAGGCAUUUAAUUUCUGGUUCCUUUUUUUUCCUGUGUCAGUUUGUUACAUGUAGAAUUUCAGUUUUAUCCUUUCAGAUUUGAAGAGAUCCCAAAGUAAUUUUUCUUCUUGAAUUCUGUUAAGCAGUAAAAUACCCUGAAUUCUACUAAAAAUCAAACCAGGCCUUUUAACAACUUUCUGAGAGGAGAGGUAAGGGUUCUUCACCUGGUCUCCCACUGCCUUCCCCCAGACAGGACCUUCCUUUAGCCCUUGGGCAGUUUUUUCCCCAUUCCUUUACCAUAUAAACUUGAUUACAUGCCUCUGAAUGCAGUUUAAGGGAUCCCUGGGCAAGGGGCAAGUCAGACCUGGAAAAGGAACAGCGUUCUUGCUCCCUAGAAAUGAAUUUGGAUGUUUACCUCUUUUCUCAAGGUAAUAUUUGUCUUUUAAAAGCAGAACCUAACUUUUUCUUUUUGUAGUCUUUCCAUUUCUUUUGCAAUGUUCAUUCCUAAAUAACUCAUAAGUUUCCUUGCCUGUUGAAAUUUCAAGAACUUUACUGUGUUUUCUUUGUCAGUGGUGCUUCUUUCCUAUAGCUUUUCUUGCUUAGAAUUUGUCUUGAAUUCAGACACAUUUUCCAAGAGCUCAGUUAUUGUUUUUUUCCUAUGGAUAAGAUUGACAGCCUGAGGUUCUUUACCAUAAUAAUUGCAUGAAUUGUCCUGUAACUUGGAGUUUUCUGUGUUUUGGCAGGGCAGAUGUGUGUUAGUACCCCUUCCGCCUGUUUUUUGGGUUUGAUGUAUUAGAAACUAUCAAAGACCAGAGUUUAUUGUGGUGGUGUUAAUGGUGCAAGCUGAGAAAUCAGCCUGUCUUGUUUUGUGACUGUGGCUUUCAAGGCUUUUAAGUGUUUGUAAGGGUAAUUCUGUGUUGCAAAGAAGAAAAAAACAAUUACAUUGUAAUGAACACUGAGAUGUCUCCUCUCUGUUUGCACUGGCCAUAAGUUACCAGCAAAAUCCCAGCGGUGGCUGCUGUGCAAGAGCACAAGUACAUAGGAACAAUGUAACGCAUUUAUGAAUUAUUUCCUUUUAAUCCAUACCAAAUGUCACAAGUUUCAUAAAUUUCAUCACUUCCCUGAAGUGAUGGUGGGUCAUUUUUGGGUUUUUUUUUGUUUUUGUUUUUCUUUUUUCAAGUGGCAUGUGGUAACUCAGGUUGAGCAAAAACCUGGGCCUGGAGCAGAAAAUUGCAAAGUCCCUUACAAUAUGAUAGACUUUUUCUUUCUAUUUUUCUACAUAUAAAUUCUAAAUACUCUUGUCUGCUUAGUAUUACCUUGAUAAAAAAAUAAGCUGUACAGUUCUUGGGCAUCUUUUUAUCUUUUUUUCAAUGCUCUUUUUUUGUACCUCACUUGCUUUAUGCAGCCCCUCUGUCACUCCAUUGAGAGAAUGAGCAUGAUUAUUUUAACAAAGUUUCUAAAACUGUUAAGUGUAGACUCUACUCUCAUUUGGAACAUCUUUUUCUGGACAUUGUUGAUGAAGUACAGUCCUAAUUCUUUAAUUCUUUGCUAUCAUGAGCCACCAAGGGACUUUGUUUUCCCAGUGCUGCUGUGUGAGAAGCCUUCCCAAACAUAGUGCUGUGCCUCUUCCAACAAAGUGGAUUUUUGGGGGGCUUUCCCCAUUUUCUAUCUGCCUUCAAAAUCUUUUCUCCCUCUUUCUAUGCAUGAUUAGUGAGACAAAGGAAGAUUUGAGCCUUAUGCAGAGGGAGUCAGUUUGAUUGGAAGUGAGAAGUGACAUUUGCAUUUACAGUGUGUGUUUAGUGGCUUGGGGUGACAUCCUGGAAGUUUCCCAUCUCAGCAUCUUUGCUGGCAUAUGUACUGAGUUUGCUUAAAAAAUGGUAAUAAAAUAAAGCUUCCUUAUGCAGGUCUUUUCACUUCAGAUAAGUUUUGGUGACAUCUAUAUUUUUGCUCUUGUUUUGGUGACAACAGUGUUAAGAUCAAUGUCAUUAAUAUCAAGGCUUACUAAUAUUUUUACUCUUGUUUAUGUGACAGCAGUGUUAAUAUCAAGGCUUACUGGAUAUUGAUUAUAUUGGAAUAAAUUUUAAAGU